CGUCACUAUUCUGCGCCGCGCCGGUCGUGCGCCGACGUGCGUCUCCUUCGGACUUUCCAGGAGCAGCCUCGUGCUUUCUUGAAAUCCCUAAUCUCUGCGAAGUCAAACUCUUAGUCCUCAUUUUAUUGCCUUACUUUACACUGAAGUAACCCAAGUUUUAUUUUAAGCCCGUCACAUGUCUCAGUGAAUUCUAAAGCUUUACACAAAGGGUUGGUCCACAGCACUGCAGGAGGUGGGAGACAUAAAAUUUCUUCUUACAAGAAGACUCCCAAGGUGGGUCAGAGUUGGCCAGAAGCACAGAGAAGACUCUAUAGUCAAAUGCCAACUGGGGAAAUGUAGUAGGAUUAGCAGUCUGUUGGUCUCUGUAGUAUCUGUAAUGUCAGAUUAAGGGAACCAUCUGGAGGCUGGCAAUGGCCCCUUCCCUUCCCAGGUAACCAAUCUGGUCCUAAAACAAAGAAACACUUAAAAGGAUAAUCUGGGAUUGGAACAGUUCUCAUCACAGAAAAUCCUUCUUCCAAGCCUGGGCCUAGCCUAGUUCUGUAUCAAGGUCAAAGAGCUGGAGAGAAGUCCUUUUUGCUGGAGUUUCAGUUUCAUCUCAUCUUUGCUCUGUAUCUCUGUGGGUACCAUCAGCCUUGGCCAGGUAGGAAAUGUCAAUUACUAGUAUUUGCUCUAACUGUUCUACACAAAGAUGCUCAGUAAGAAGGAAGCCAAAUCCUUGGCAGUUACUCCUGCCUUACACAGGUAAAUGGCUAGUCCAUCUAGUCCCUUAUUGCAUUGUUUGUAUUCCAAGAACUGUGAGCUCAGACUUUCAGAAUCCCUUUACAAUCAAGACACCAAAUAUCUGAAAUCAUUCCCAGCUCUGACAAAUUUGCCUUCUGGGAUCUGGAGACAAAGCCAGUUAUUUGUCACACUAUUGCUGAUCACUUGUGGAACUGCCUUGAGGCUGGUCAUUAGCAAUUUGAAGCCAUAAUUUUCACUGAGGAUCCAAACCUUAGAUCACCUUUUAUUUGCCUGGGACCUGAUGAAGGGGUCAAGGUGACACCUGGGAUGUAAAAAAGAUGCUGCAAGUGCCUGUAAGCCCAGGCUGUGUGGCAAGCUAGGGCCACCACCAACUCUCCACUAUGACUUUACCACAGGCCUUACUCAAGCACAGGCAACGGACCCACUGGUAAUCAGAUGUGCACUAUAUACAGACUGCACCUGCUGAU